rnacentral:rRNA from 1 species
UACGAAGGGGGCUAGCGUUGUUCGGAUUUACUGGGCGUAAAGCGCGCGUAGGCGGCCCGAUAAGUCAGGGGUGAAAUCCCAGAGCUCAACUCUGGAACUGCCUUUGAUACUGUCGAUCUGGAGUAUGGAAGAGGUGAGUGGAAUUCCGGGUGUAGAGGUGAAAUUCGUAGAUAUUCGGAGGAACACCAGUGGCGAAGGCGGCUCACUGGGCCAUUACUGACGCUGAGGUGCGAAAGCGUGGGGAGCAAACAGG